AAGGUCCUCUUUCCGGGAGACUUUAGGUAAGUUUAGGGGGAAAAAUGGCAGUACUACCGGAGAGCUAAGAUUUAACCACACUUUAUUUUAGUAUAAAACUAGACAUAAACAAAGUGAUCGGGUCUUAGUUUAGCUACGCGUUUCACCGAUGCUCCGUC